AUGCGAAGGAGUCACCCAGAAGGCUUCACCACCAAGGGCGGGAAAAGGCAAGUUGGGGAUCAAGUUCCAAAUUUUCCCAGUAUGAAGGCCCAGAGGCUGGAAGAUGGUUCUUCCCUUGCUGCGUGUACCGUCUCACCUACUUCUGGGAAGUGGAGCAUUCAAGUGACAUCUGAAGGUGAGGCUCCCCCACCACCUGUUACUUUGUAG